AUAAACGCUGGCGGCGUGCAUGAGACAUGCAAGUCGAACGGACACUCGGGGCUUGCUCCGAGUGUUAGUGGCGGACGGCUGAGUAACGCGUAGGUGACCUGCCCCGAAGUGGGGAAUAACUGCCCGAAAAGGUGGCUAAUACCGCAUGUGGUGGAGCGUUCAUUCGCUCCAGUAAAGCCGCAAGGCGCUUCGGGAGGGGCCUGCGUCCGAUUAGCUCGUUGGUGGGGUAACGGCUCACCAAGGCGACGAUCGGUAGGUGGUCUGAGAGGACGAUCACCCAGACUGGGACUGAGACACGGUCCAGACUCCUACGGGAGGCAGCAGUCGGGAAUUUUGCGCAAUGGACGAAAGUCUGACGCAGCAACGCCGCGUGAGGGAUGACGGCCUUCGGGUUGUAAACCUCUUUUAUCAAGGAAGAUAAUGACGGCACUUGAUGAAUAAGUCACGGCUAACUACGU
rnacentral:rRNA from 1 species